GGAUGGGUAAUGGGGCCCCACAGGCUUACUGAUCCUAACCAAACUCCGAAUACCGAGGAGAACUGUACAGCAGACACACUGCGGAUGCUAACGUCCGUAGUGGAGAGGGAAACAACCCUGACCUCCAGCUAAGGCCCCUAAUUCAUGGCUAAGUGGGAAAGCAGGUGGGACGACCAAGACAACCAGGAGGUUGGCUUAGAGGCAGCCAUCCUUUAAAGAUAGCGUAAUAGCUCACUGGUCGAAAUAAGUUGUCCUGCGGCGAAGAUGUAACGGGGCUCAAGCCAUGAGCCGAAGCUGAGGAGUGCGUAAGCACUGGUAGCGGAGCGUAGUGUGAGUAAGUUUGUUGUCCGAGUGCCGACAUUCGUGUUGGCAUUCAUAUGUGGCGGCAAGCUUUCUGAGAAGCCGUCCUGUGAGGGACCGGUGGAGAGAUCACUAGUGAGAAUGAUGACAUGAGUAGCGACAAAGAGUGUGAGAAACACUCUCGCCGGAAGUCCAAGGGUUCCUGUUUAAAGCUAAUCUGAGCAGGGUGAGCCGGCCCCUAAGCUGAGGCCGAAAGGCGUAGGCGAUGGGAAUCAGGUUAAUAUUCCUGAGCCAGGAGGAUGUGACGGAUCGUAAGGGUAGUACAACCUUAUUGGAUUGGUUGUGCUGCUGAGCGGUUCCUGGAAAUAGCCCUCCAUCAGACCGUACCCCAAACCGACACAGGUGGACAGGUAGAGAAUACCAAGGCGCUUGAGAGAACGAUGUUGAAGGAACUCGGCAAAAUACCUCCGUAAGUUCGCGAGAAGGAGGCCCGGUUCUUAGGCAACUAGGAGUCGGGGGCACAAACCAGGGGGUGGCGACUGUUUACUAAAAACACAGGGCUCUGCGAAGUCGCAAGACGACGUAUAGGGUCUGACGCCUGCCCGGUGCCGGAAGGUUAAGGAGAGGGGUGCAAGCUCUGAACCGAAGCCCCGGUAAACGGCGGCCGUAACUAUAACGGUCCUAAGGUAGCGAAAUUCCUUGUCGGGUAAGUUCCGACCUGCACGAAUGGCGUAACGACUUCCCCGCUGUCUCCAGCAUCGACUCAGCGAAAUUGAAUUGCCUGUCAAGAUGCAGGCUUCCCGCGGUUAGACGGAAAGACCCCGUGCACCUUUACUAUAGCUUCGCACUGGCAUCAGGCCAUGCAUGUGCAGGAUAGGUGGUAGGCUUUGAAACCGUGACGCCAGUCGUGGUGGAGCCUCCCUUGAGAUACCACCCUUGCAUUGCUUGGUGUCUAACCGCGGCCCGUUAUCCGGGCCCGGGACCAUGCGUGGUGGGUAGUUUGACUGGGGCGGUCGCCUCCUAAAGCGUAACGGAGGCGUGCGAAGGUUGGCUCAGAGCGGUCGGAAAUCGCUCGUUGAGUGCAAUGGCAGAAGCCAGCCUGACUGCGAGACUGACAGGUCGAGCAGAGUCGAAAGACGGCCAUAGUGAUCCGGUGGUUCCGAGUGGAAGGGCCAUCGCUCAACGGAUAAAAGGUACGCCGGGGAUAACAGGCUGAUACUGCCCAAGAGUCCAUAUCGACGGCAGUGUUUGGCACCUCGAUGUCGGCUCAUCUCAUCCUGGGGCUGAAGCAGGUCCCAAGGGUACGGCUGUUCGCCGUUUAAAGAGGUACGUGAGCUGGGUUUAGAACGUCGUGAGACAGUUCGGUCCCUAUCUGCCGUGGGUGUAGGAAACUUGAGAGGAGUUGCCCCUAGUACGAGAGGACCGGGGUGAACGAUCCACUGGUGGACCUGUUGUGGCGCCAGCCGCAUCGCAGGGUAGCUAUGAUCGGACAGGAUAACCGCUGAAGGCAUCUAAGCGGGAAGCCCCCCUCGAAACAAGGUAUCCCUAAGGGCCGUGGAAGACCACCACGUCGAUAGGCCGGAGAUGUAAGCAUGGUAACAUGUUCAGUUGACCGGUACUAAUUGCCCGAUCGGCUUGAUUUG
rnacentral:rRNA from 1 species